GCCCAGGUGGCGGAAUUGGUAGACGCGAUAGACUCAAAAUCUAUUGUUGGCAACAACAUGAGAGUUCGAUUCUCUCCCUGGGCA
rnacentral:tRNA from 1 species